rnacentral:rRNA from 1 species
GACGAACGCUGGCGGCGUGCCUAAUACAUGCAAGUAGAACGCUGAAGGAGGAGCUUGCUCUUCUGGAUGAGUUGCGAACGGGUGAGUAACGCGUAGGUAACCUGCCUGGUAGCGGGGGAUAACUAUUGGAAACGAUAGCUAAUACCGCAUAACAGUAGAUGUUGCAUGACAUUUGCUUAAAAGGUGCAAUUGCAUCACUACCAGAUGGACCUGCGUUGUAUUAGCUAGUUGGUGGGGUAACGGCUCACCAAGGCGACGAUACAUAGCCGACCUGAGAGGGUGAUCGGCCACACUGGGAGUGAGACACGGCCCAGACUCCUACGGGAGGCAGCAGUAGGGAAUCUUCGGCAAUGGACGGAAGUCUGACCGAGCAACGCCGAGUGAGGGAAGAAGGUUGUCGGAUCGUAAAGCUCUGUUGUAAGAGAAGAACGAGUGUGAGAGUGGAAAGUUCACACUGUGACGGUAUCUUACCAGAAAGGGACGGCUAACUACGUG